rnacentral:rRNA from 1 species
AUUGAACGCUCGCGGGAUGCUUUACACAUGCAAGUCGAACGGCCGCGCGGACUUCGGUCUGGCUGCGAGUGGCGAACGGGUGAGUAAUGUAUCGGAACGUUCCCAGUAGCGUGGGAUAACUCCGCUACAGCGUAGCUAAUACCGCAUACGCUCAGCGGUGGAACGCCGGGGAUCUUAAGACCUUGCACCUUUGGAGCGGCCGAUAUCGCAUUAGCUAGUUGGUGAGGUAACGGCUCACCAAGGCGACGAUCCGUCGCUGUUGUGAGAGGACUACCCGCCACACGGGGAGUGAGAGACGGCUCAGACUCCUACGGGAGGGAGCAGUGGGGAAUUUUGAACCAUGCGUGCAGACCUGAUCCAGCCCUCCCGCGUGUAGCAGGAAGGGCUCUGGGUGAUAAAGCACUUUUGGCAGGAAAGACACGGCGCGUGCUAAUACCCCGUGAAACUGACGGUACCUGGAGAAUAAGCACCGGCUAACUACGUG